GACGAACGCUGGCGGCGUGCUUAACACAUGCAAGUCGAACGGAAAGGCCCUGCUUUUGUGGGGUGCUCGAGUGGCGAACGGGUGAGUAACACGUGAGUAACCUGCCCUUGACUUUGGGAUAACUUCAGGAAACUGGGGCUAAUACCGGAUAGGAGCUCCUGCUGCAUGGUGGGGGUUGGAAAGUUUCGGCGGUUGGGGAUGGACUCGCGGCUUAUCAGCUUGUUGGUGGGGUAGUGGCUUACCAAGGCUUUGACGGGUAGCCGGCCUGAGAGGGUGACCGGCCAAAUGGGGACUGGGAUACGGCCCAAACCCCUACGGGGGGCAGCAGGGGGGAAUUUUGCACAAGGGGCGGAAGCCUGAUGCAGCAACCCCGCGGGGGGGAUGACGCCCUUCGGGUUGUAAACCGCUUUCCCCUGGGACGAAGCGGGAGUGACGGUAAUGGGUAAAGAAGCACCGGCUAACUACGU
rnacentral:rRNA from 1 species